AUGGUUUCACUGUUCCAUUCAAAUUGUACUCCAUGAUACACAAGUUAGAUUGAACCCUAAUAUUAUGAUGGCUCAAGACUUUGGCUCUGUGGUACCCCCCACCUCCACCCAUGUGCAGGCUGCCAACUGUCUCCAAGAGUUGCACCGCUGGACAAUUCUGCAUCGGAAUUCCUAUGGCCAGGCUGCUAAAGCAAAGGUUGGAGCCAGAACUGUUGUCC
rnacentral:lncRNA from 1 species